rnacentral:tRNA from 1 species
ACUAAUUUAGUAUACAGAAGUACAUAAAAUUGUAAAUUUUAAGGUAAAUAAGAUUUAAUUAGAA